GUCACAGGAAAGUUAGUCAAAUCAUAAUACCGCCUAAUUUCCGCCAAGCCGACGCCGCGCUGAAUUGCGAGAAACAAGCACUGCGUUGGCCCGGUCUUGUCGACUCCGGAUUCCUCAGCCCCCAGCCCCCCGGGGUUUUCAGGAUCGGGCCGGUGCGCAGGGAAGUUAAUCCCCACACUACGGGCCAACAUUCGUUGGUCCUUUU
rnacentral:sRNA from 1 species